CACCGCGGUUAUACGAGAGGCCCUAGUUGAUGAACACGGCGUAAAGGGUGGUUAAGGAAGGCAGAUAUUAAAGCCAAAGGGCCUCUUGGCCGUCAUACGCUCCUGAGCAUCCGAAGCCCAAUGAACGAAAGUAGCUUUAACCCAGCCCACCCGACUCCACGAAAACUGAGAAA
rnacentral:rRNA from 1 species